rnacentral:rRNA from 1 species
UACGUAGGGUGCGAGCGUUGUCCGGAGUUAUUGGGCGUAAAGAGCUCGUAGGCGGUCUGUUGCGUCCGCUGUGAAAACUCGGGGCUUAACCCCGAGCCUGCAGUGGAUACGGGCAGACUAGAGGUAGGUAGGGGAGAAUGGAAUUCCCGGUGUAGCGGUGAAAUGCGCAGAUAUCGGGAGGAACACCGGUGGCGAAGGCGGUUCUCUGGGCCUUACCUGACGCUGAGGAGCGAAAGCGUGGGGAGCGAACAGG